GAUGGAAGCACAGUGGGACGAUGAAAUACAUCCUGCUUCUCGUUCCCAGCGCAAAACUGUUCCUUCACGGUCCCGCAGUGGAAGAAUCCAAGAAUGAGCGUAGACAGGAGAGCGCGAGACAAGGAAGGGAAGGAGAGGGUGAGCGAUGGAGGCAGAGAGAGAAAAGACGGGAGGAGGGGGGGGGGCUGAGAGUGAGAAAUGAAAAAGGGAAUAUUGGCAGAUUAAGAGAGAGAGAGAGAAAGUGAGAGGGAGAGAGUCACAGUGCAUUCCAGCUACCGUGAGUGUUUGGUUAGCACCAUUGUUAUGGGUAAUAGCAGGUUUGCACCUCCCUGAAGUGCCAAUCAGCGUUAAGUGUCACUGAUUUCUUCCUGUUGCCAAGCACCGCCGGCAAGGGGAGGGCGAGUGUGAACCGGGGGCGCUGGGGAGGCGGGGGGAGGGGCGGGUCAUCCAGCCUGGGAGUCCCGGGCGCGGAUCUGUCAGGGGCUGGGUGGACGUGGCUGCGAGAUGUCGAGAGACAGAGAGCUCAAGAAAUACAGUAAGAGAGGGAGGGAGCUUGCGCCGCUGUUUUCAAUCAUCCCCGCACAGGCAAUAAAUGGGUCUUCAAAUUCCUCCUGACAAGCUGCCACUCCAGACCCUUCAGCCACUUGGCAUUCACAGACCUGCCUGUCAGUUUAAAAGAUUAGGGCAUUGCUGGGGAUAAAUAAUUCAUGCUGCCGCUCCCUGUUAUGACAUUAUGCUGACGAGUCACGCGCCAGAACAGUCGCCACACAUCCCCCCCUUGCAGGAGAGCAGCUACUGUGGAUGUUUCUCCGAUUUCCUCACCGGGCAGGCGCUGAUGUCCAGACGCGCACCUAAUCUGAGAAGCUGGAGCCCGAGGAGAACGUCACGCGUGACCUGCGGCUUGCUACACGCGUGUCAUUGUCCCAUAAUGCCCUGCACCCAGGAAGAGCCACCGAGGCCAAGAGGUUUAUACUUGCAGGGAGUGGUAUCGCGCUCGGUCCAGGUAAGCUGGAAAUACACAACACCGGCUCUCCCGUUCUCCACUCUCCAUUGUUCUCCGGCACCCCCUGCAUUUCGAAGAAGGGACACAACCCGCCCUGAAAAUAUCUGCUUUGUGAAACAACACAAUUCCAGCCUGGGGAGAGAGGGGACAGGCAGGCAG
rnacentral:lncRNA from 1 species